AUUCAGUUCCAAGAAGUAACAAGAAUCGAUAAGUGUUCCUUGAAUUGUUAAAUUCGCAUACAACAUCAGCCAAAAUGAAAUUCUUUGCGGUGACAUUUGUGGCCUUUAUGGUAUUUUUGGCGGUUACUUCUGCUCCAAUAGAAGAA